rnacentral:rRNA from 1 species
GAUGAACGCUAGCUACAGGCUUAACACAUGCAAGUCGAGGGGCAGCAUGAACAAAGCUUGCUUUGUUUGAUGGCGACCGGCGCACGGGUGCGUAACGCGUAUCCAACCUUCCCGUUACUCUUGGAUAGCCUUCCGAAAGGGAGAUUAAUACAAGAUGGUAUUCAAAUUCCGCAUGUUAUUUGAAUUAAAGAUUUAUCGGUAACGGAUAGGGAUGCGUGACAUUAGAUAGUUGGCGGGGUAACGGCCCACCAAGUCUACGAUGUCUAGGGGUUCUGAGAGGAAGGUCCCCCCACACUGGAACUGAGACACGGUCCAGACUCCUACGGGAGGCAGCAGUGAGGAAUAUUGGUCAAUGGCCGAGAGGCUGAACCAGCCAAGUAGCGUGAAGGAUGAAGGUUCUAUGGAUUGUAAACUUCUUUUAUACGGGAAUAACAUCACCUACGUGUAGGUGCCUGCAUGUACCGUAUGAAUAAGCAUCGGCUAACUCCGUGCCAGCAG